AGCGAACGCUGGCGGCAGGCUUAACACAUGCAAGUCGAGCGGGCACUCCGGGGUCUGCGGCAUACGGGUGUGUAACACGUGGGAACGUAACCUUCGGGUCGGACUAACGCUGGGAAACUAACGACAAUACCGGAUAGGCCCUAUUGGGGAAAGGUUUAUUGCCCAAGGAUGGGCACGCGUCUGAUUAGCUGGUUGGUGGGGUAAUGGCCUACUACGGCGAGGAUCAGUAGCUGGUCAGAGAGGAGGAUCAGCCACACUUGGACUAAGACGCGGCCCGGAAUCCUACGGAAGGGAGGAGAGGGGAAUAGUGGACAAUGGCGGCAAGCCUGAUCGAGCCCUGCCGGGUAAGUGAUGAAGGCCUUAGGGAUCUAAAGCGCUAUUGUCCGGGACGGUAAUGACGGUACCGGAUGAAUAAGCCCCGGCUAACUUCGUG
rnacentral:rRNA from 1 species